rnacentral:rRNA from 1 species
AGUGAACGCUGGCGGUAGGCCUAACACAUGCAAGUCGAACGGCAGCACAGUAAGAGCUUGCUCUUACGGGUGGCGAGUGGCGGACGGGUGAGGAAUACAUCGGAAUCUACUUUUUCGUGGGGGAUCACGUAGGGAAACUUACGCUAAUACCGCAUACGACCUACGGGUGAAAGCAGGGGAUCUUCUGACCUUGCGCGAUUGAAUGAGCCGAUGUCGGAUUAGCUAGUUGGCGGGGUAAAGGCCCACCAAGGCGACGAUCCGUAGCUGGUCUGAGAGGCUGAUCAGCCACACUGGAACUGAGACGCGGUCCAGACUCCUACGGGAGGCAGCAGUGGGGAAUAUUGGACAAUGGGCGCAAGCCUGAUCCAGCCAUACCGCGUGGGUGAAGAAGGCCUUCGGGUUGUAAAGCCCUUUUGUUGGGAAAGAAAAGCAGCAGGUUAAUACCCCGCUGUUCUGACGGUACCCAAAGAAUAAGCACCGGCUAACUUCGUG